UCCAGCAAUAAUGCUGCUCCACUGCCUUUCCAUUCGCCUUCUGCGAGGUUUCCUGCAAGCCCUGACAUUCCUUGGCUUGCUAGAUGCCAUCACCCCAGUUUCUGCCCCAUCAUCACAUGGCCUCCUCAUCUUGCGUGUCUGCCUCUGCAUUUCCUCUUAUUCUUCUAAGGACACGACACCAGUCUAUAUGUGGAUUAAGGGUCCACUCCUAACUAAUUCACUAUCUGCCAACAACCCUAUUUCCAAAUAAAGUCACAUUCUAAGAUUCCUAGGGAGAACAUGAAUUUUUGGGGGCGUGUGGAUACUGUUCAACCUGGGACAUGGAGUAAAUAAAUGGCAAGGAAGAUUACAGAUGACUUUAAGCUAAAGAGGGAGAUAGGGUUAAAUGUAGGACUUUUUUUUUCCAGGACGGGAGAGGUUUAAACAUGUUACUACAUUGAAUAAAUGAAAUAACCAUGAACAUGGAGUGGCUAAAGAUUCUGAACUAAGUGCAACUGCAUAUUUGUGUGGCGCCUGAGCUCUGAGAUGACCAUCAGCAUGAGGCAGCAUCUGGCCGAGUUGCGCCAGCGUCAGCGGGGCGGCAAGCAGCAAGGACCAUCCUCUCCCCAAAGGGCUUCUGGACCCAACCGGCACCAGGCCCCAUCAAUGCUGUCUCCUGGACCGGCUCUCUCAUCAGACAGUGACAAGGGGGGAGAAGAUGAGGGGACUGAAGAAGAACUUCCAGCACUGCCCGUCCUUGCCAAGAGUACCAAGAAGGCACUGGGUCUGUGGCAGUUGGGUGUGGGGGCAGACAGGUCCUAGUUGGUAUGAUGGUUAGAUAUGGUUUUUCUGAGACUGUGGGGUGAGAGCAGUGUGAGCUGAGGAAACUGAGGCAUCAUUGUGGCCACACAGGGUAUGGGCUGAUGGGGCCAGGGCUCCAGGGUUGGGUGGGGGCGGGGGGGCAGGAGACACUUCCUCUGACUGCCUGUUUCUGUCUAGCCUCGGUCCUCAGCCCAGCCUUGCCCCGAAGCCUGUCCCAUUGGGAGAUGAGUCGGGUGAGUCACCAUUGUUAAAAUGUUCUUCCAAGGUUAGAGGAGGCAAAGGGAGCUGUGAGAACAGGGCUCUCUGGGCCUGGUAGGGUACUGGGGCAUGGGGUCUGCCCACAUGCUGCACUCCUGUGUCCAAGGAAGGCCUUGUCGGGGAAGUUGAAGCAGCUGGGCCGGUCCUGGGUGCGGGGUGAAGAAAGCCCAGGUAUUUCCUUCCUGUGGACCAGUUGGGGUGGAUGGAGCACAGGGUUAGUCAGCACUGGGGAGGUGGGGCACUUGUUCAGCUGCCUGGUGCCUGGAAGUAAAUAUCAUCAGAGAAGAGCUC
rnacentral:lncRNA from 1 species